GUUGUAUAGUCAAGUAAUUAAGUGCAUGUGGUGGAUGCCUUGGCAGUCAGAGGCGAUGAAAGACGUGAUAGCCUGCGAAAAGCUCCGGGGAGGCGGCAAAUAUCCUUUGAUCCGGAGAUGUCUGAAUGGGGGAACCCACCUACUUUAAGGUAGGUAUUGCAACAUGAAUACAUAGUGUUGCAAGGCGAACGAGGGGAAGUGAAACAUCUCAGUACCCUUAGGAAAAGAAAUCAAUUGAGAUUCCCUCAGUAGCGGCGAGCGAACGGGGAUCAGCCCAUUAAGUUAUGUGUGUUUUAGUGGAACGCUCUGGGAAGUGCGAACGUAGAGGGUGAUAUUCCCGUACACGAAAGGGCACACAUAAUGAUGACGAGUAGGGCGAGGCACGUGAAACCUUGUCUGAAUAUGGGGGGACCAUCCUCCAAGGCUAAAUACUCCUGACUGACCGAUAGUGAACCAGUACCGUGAGGGAAAGGCGAAAAGAACCCCUGUGAGGGGAGUGAAAUAGAUCCUGAAACCGCAUGCAUACAAGCAGUGGGAGCACCUUCGUGGUGUGACUGCGUACCUUUUGUAUAAUGGGUCAGCGACUUAUAUUCAGUAGCGAGGUUAACCGUAUAGGGGAGCCGUAGAGAAAUCGAGUCUUAAUAGGGCGUUUAGUUGCUGGGUAUAGACCCGAAACCAGGCGAUCUAUCCAUGAGCAGGUUGAAGGUUGGGUAACACUAACUGGAGGACCGAACCCACUGUCGUUGAAAAGCCAGGGGAUGACUUGUGGAUAGGGGUGAAAGGCUAAUCAAGCC
rnacentral:rRNA from 1 species